UCAGUGGUGGGUCUAUGGUAGAAUUCUCGCCUUCCAUGAGGGAGGCCUGGGUUCGAUUCCCAGCCAGUGCA
rnacentral:tRNA from 1 species